rnacentral:tRNA from 1 species
GGGCCGGUAGCUCAGCUAGGUAGAGCGGCGGUCUAAGCAACUCUGGGUCGAGGCUCUUAACCCGUAGGUCCCGGGUUCGAAUCCCGGCCGGCCCG